rfam:Canis lupus familiaris chromosome 24, whole genome shotgun sequence.
UCAUAAAUAAAUAAAAAUUUAAAAAAAAUUGAAACGCCACAGAGAAGACUAGCAUGGUCCUGUGUAAGGAUGACACCCAAAUUCAGGAAGCAUCCCAUAUUUUG